rnacentral:pre_miRNA from 1 species
UUUACAUUUAGACCGUUGAUCUAACGAACAAUUUCACGCGUUCGGUAGAAGAUCUUCCAUUUGUCUU